AUAUUGAAUUAUUCAUUUAAAUAAAGUAUAUAUGAGAUUUUAUUAAUAAUCAUUAAUUAUUAUUAUAUAUGUCAAAGAACCACAAUUUUACUGAUAAAAUUGUUUAUUGUAAUAAUUUGGUAUUCGUAGUUGUUAGGUAUUUAUUUCCCAUGCCAUAGAUUAUUAUAACACUAGUGUUUGUGGUAAGAAUUUCACUUUAGUUUGUUUCAUUUAAUAUCAGUUGAGAUAAAUAGCUGGCAUAGGACGGCUUAUAUAUUUAAAAUAUUAAUUUAAUUUGUUAUUUUUAAAAACUUUCUUUGUAUAAUCCCUUUCCUAUCUUUAUAAUAACAAAAGUAUAUUAUAAAAUACAAUAAAAUUUAUACUAAAAAUAUUAUUUGUUCUUUGUUAAGAGGAUACCAUGUUGUCUUCAUUUUACGACAUAAAACAUAACAAAUUUUGCAAUCAAAGGAAUCAAUUUUAUGGUAUUAACUUUAAUAUUAGUGUCAAUUUAUGUAAUAUUAAACUUAAAUGUAACAAUAUUAUUUAGAGCAUUUCAUAAGCUUUUAUUAAUAUUUUAAUUUUUAAUACCAAAAUUUGUAUACCAUAAGACCAUAGAUUGGUUAUGAAUAGUUAGAUUGUCUUAUAAAUGUAUAAAAGUUUUGUUUUUUAAGUACUAUGUAUGAUUAGUAAAAGCAAUAAUUCAAAAUUAAUUUUUGAGCGUGUAUGCAAAUAAUAUGUAAGUUCAAAUAAUUCAAGUCAGCAACAAGCCAAAUCAAUAUUGUCAUUUGUUUUAAGGCAACUACCUAUAUUAUUUAUAAUAUACAAUAAAUAUUCCAUAAUUAUUU